CGGGAUGUUCAUAACCCUUUGUUGUCCGACUCUGUUGCCUCCGGGGCGACCCUGCCUUCGGGCGGGGGCUCCGGGUGGACACUUCAAACUCUUGCGUAACUUUGCAGUCUGAGUAAACUUAAUUAAUAAAUUAAAACUUUUAACAACGGAUCUCUUGGUUCUGGCAUCGAUGAAGAACGCAGCGAAAUGCGAUAAGUAAUGUGAAUUGCAGAAUUCAGUGAAUCAUCGAAUCUUUGAACGCACAUUGCGCCCCCUGGUAUUCCGGGGGGCAUGCCUGUUCGAGCGUCAUUUCACCACUCAAGCCUCGCUUGGUAUUGGGCAUCGCGGUCCGCCGCGUGCCUCAAAUCGACCGGCUGGGUCUUCUGUCCCCUAAGCGUUGUGGAAACUAUUCGCUAAAGGGUGUUCGGGAGGCUACGCCGUAAAACAACCCCAUUUCUAAGGUUGACCUCGGAUCAGGUAGGGAUACCCGCUGAACUUAAGCAUAUCAAUAAGCGGAGGAAC
rnacentral:rRNA from 1 species